UACGAAGGGGGCUAGCGUUGUUCGGAAUUACUGGGCGUAAAGCGUGCGCAGGCGGUUUUGUAAGUCUGUCGUGAAAUCCCCGGGCUUAACCUGGGAAUGGCGAUGGAGACUGCAAGGCUAGAGUUUGGCAGAGGGGGGUAGAAUUCCACGUGUAGCAGUGAAAUGCGUAGAGAUGUGGAGGAACACCGAUGGCGAAGGCAGCCCCCUGGGUCAAAACUGACGCUCAUGCACGAAAGCGUGGGGAGCAAACAGG
rnacentral:rRNA from 1 species